GGUCUUGUUAUUUGGAGAGGAUGCUGGGAACAGAAAUUCUAUUAGGUUUAACUGUUCAUUAGCUCUUAGAUCACUGCAGGAAGCACAUUAAUGUGUCACUUCUCAGCCACAGCUCUGUAAGGAUGUGCUGUUCUGAAACCCCAAAGAUGGAUAGAUUUCAAAGUACUGACAAUAUGUGUACGCUCUUCAGCGGCAAAUGGUCACAAAUCAUCAACAAGUAACUUAGAUGGUAUAUGUAAGGCAUGAAGGCAGCUAGUUGCUACCAUUAGCCCAAUGGAGACCUGGUGGCUGAGGGGCAAGAGCAGGUGACACUGGACCAGAUAUUGAUGAUAUGAUCAGACAGCUCCAAACAUUGCAUCGUGCUUAAAAAUAAUUGAGGUUGGGAUGGUUGAGAUGAUGUUAAAUUUUUUGUUUACAUACCAAGGUAUCUUCUUAGUUGUUAUUUUAGUAAAUAUGGGGUAAUCAAUGGAACUGGUUUAAUUGUUAUGGUGCUGUUAGGGUAAUACAGUACUGCCAUUGCUGUAUCUUUAAUAUCUUUACGAAACAAGCUAACACAUUUAUUUGAAUGAUAAAUGAAGAGAUAAUUAACAAUUAAUUUGUUUGAAAAUAGAGGUGAGUGAUCAAGUUACUUAGGGGAUCUACUUUGAGUUAAAUGUAACGCAAUAAUGUUAUCUAGUACGUUCUAGUCUUUUAACAACAUCCUGGUCUACAUUUGCAAUGUUUUGUGCAGAUGUUUACUAAUGACUGUCUACUAUUCUGGGAAAUUUGAUCAUUAGUCAAUAAUAUGAUCAUUAGUCAAUAAUUUAACCAUUUAGGGACUAUCAGAUCAAUAUCGCUUGCUUUAUUCACUUUUACAAAUUGACUUGAUUAUACGAUCAAAUUAAAUCAUAUAUGAAAUCAUCCAAAUAUUUGUAAUGAUUCUAGAUAAGUUUUGAUGAUUACAAGAAUCUGUAAGGUCUUUGAGCAAAAAUGCUUUAAACUUUUUAAAAAAACAAUACUUUUCCUGUAAAAUUUUCUCAAAAAUCUAAAUUGUAUGAAUUGGACCAGUACUCAGAACUACAGUAAAACUCGUUUCGUAUGAACACGGAUAUAGCAAAUUCUCGGAUAUAGGGAAGUUUUUUUGAGUCCCUGGUAAAAUUCUUAACAAAUCUGCGCAAAAUUUUACGUCUAUCAUGAAUUCAGAUAUAACGAAUUUACGGAUAUAGCAAACUGAUUUUUGAGUCCUGUAGAGAUGAAUAAUAACAAAAUUUAACACUUUUAUAACAAUUUCUUUACAGUUUAAAAACGUUUUCACUACCAUUUAACAUUAUAGUUUGAAUAAAUUUAUUUUCAUAUAAGUAUUUCAAUUCACAAUCCCAUUAUUAAAGGUAUCAAAGUAAUGUUUUUUUCAUUUUAAGCCUCAAUUAGCAAAGUUAUAGUCUGGUGUAAGAAAACAUGUAUAUAGUGAAUUCGCGAUAGUUAUUAUUGCGAAUUUAAUAUAACGAAUUACGGAUAUAACAAAGUAAAUCCAUUGGUCCCUAGGACUUAGCAAUAACCAAGUUUUACUGUACCAGGUAUUAUCUACAAUUUAUAUACCAUAUGAGGAGUUUGGAUUUGAUGUUGCUAUCAGCACAUUGAGGAUAGAAUAUGAAGAACCAGAAAAAAAUAUUUGGGAGGAUGCUGAUAUGAUGAUGAAAUACUUAAACAAGUAAUCCUAUAGAUAGAGGGAAGGAGACAGUAAAAUACCUAAUAAUUAUCAUGAAUCAUAAUACCCCGACCAUUCUUCUUCACUUCAAAGACUUUGGUUUGGAUUUAUCGUAGCGCAGCGUGAAAUCCUUAUGUCAAUAUUUAUACGAUAUAAGCGGACAGUAGGAUAUCUUUUGGAACGAUCAUCGCCAUGUCGUCAUGGUGAAUGAUCAAUAUUUUGAAUGAACCAAUAUUCAUGUCUUGAAUGUCCAGGGUAAAAGCAGAUUGCAACAAUAUAAAUGUUGUGUUUAUAUAAUUGAAUUUUCAAGUCAUUUACCUGUAAGGUGUGUUGUCACAUUGUUAUUUUUGUUAUACAGAAUCGUUGUCGCUUCAUUGUGGGUGUCUCUGGCUCAGGUUGUUCUCAUUCAGCAAUCAUUGGGGGAUAUUCUUGUUUGGUUUCAUAACGCACACAGUUUUUUUUAUUUUUAUUGAUGAAUUUACCGGUACAUUAGGUUGCUUUUGUGAUGCCAAACAAAUAAUUUUAUUUGUCCCAAUUUUGCAAAUUCUGUUAUGUAUUGCAAAUAAAAAAAUUCAUUGAAAAAAUAAUUAUGGAUCAUAUAAUUUCUUAAAGAUUAAUUCAUAUAUGACAAAAAUACAGUAAAACAUUGUUACAUCAAACAUGCUUAAAGUGAAUUAAUGAUAACAUCUUAGUCAGUAGUAUCCCCUUUAUCAUCAUAAAAUUGUAUCAUUAAAUUAUUUGAUAUGAUAAUUUUUGGUUAUCAUCCCUGGCAGAGUGCUCUAACCAAGCUGCUGUGAAAUAGAAUAAAGUGAUUUUGUACAGACAUCAUAUUUUUUAGGGUAACGCAGGUUACAUCAGAUGCAAAAUGACCAUUGACUUGGAUCUAUAUUCUAUUAAAGAAAGUAUGGCAUCUUUUUAGAAUGUUUAGAUCGGAAUUUUGAUAAAUUCAAGAAACAAGAUGACUUCAGAAAAACAGAAUUGAUCCAUUGAUCAAUUUUAAGCAGUAAUGGAAGAACUCAAUGUGACAUAAUUUAGUCAAUUACAGUUCAAAGCCCAAUCAGUUCCAGAUCAUUUAUUGAGUAAUGGAGCCUUUAUUUAGACCAAUUCUUGAGACUAAGGCACAUCAUAGGGUUUAGAUUGUACUAUACCCAUGACUGCUCAAAGCCACAGUUUCAAAUUCAGUGUCACAUGAAGUAUUUGCCGACAUACUGUUGCCUUGAUAUUAAUGGUUCUGGCUUAGAAGCACUCUCUUGUGAAAUCACUAGAAAUUACCAUUAAAAGAAACUUUCCAUUAGCAAUUAAGAAAAUUUUUCUAAAAGUGAAACAGAAAGUGUUUUUGUUUAACAGUAGACCAUUUUGGGUAAAAUAUGAUAGACAGGAGAAUUAGGCCUCAGGUUGUGUCAUCUUAAUCAAAGCAUCUCUUUUACUGUCUUCUCUAUCUUGAUUAAUAACUAGUAAUGCAGUCAUUAGGGAAUGCACACCUGAUCACAAAAUUUAGAGUAUGAGCAAAAAAUCUUUGAAAAGUGUACUUGUACAUAAUUAUUAUAAUUUAUUUUUACUUGUAAUGCUUAAUUACAAGCGUUACUGUAAAAGGAAAUUAAAGAUAAUGUUUUGUAAACCUGCAAAUUCUUGUGUAUGAUUUUGACUCUUGUUUGUUCCUAAGAAUGUAAUAUAAACUGUCAAUUCCUUAUAUUACGCGAGUACUUAAUUCCGCGAUCCCGCUGUUUUGUAUCAAAUCGGGAAAAUAUAAAAUAGUAAAUGCGGAAUAUAGUUAUCCACAUUUUUUAUAGUUCACAACUCUCAAAAAAUAAUGGUGAGAUUUUAAAAUCCGCGAGGAGAGCUUCUUGCAAUUUUACGCUGAUAUAAAUUCCUCGUGUUUAAUUAGGAAUAUACAGUUCCCCUUUUAUUUGCUCAAUACAUGGAAAUGUUGUCUUAACAACUAUUUUCUGAAAAGUUAAAAUGUCUUUGGAACAACAUCAUGAAAAGGCUUAUAAUUUCUUUGUAUAGUGCACAUGUACCAGUAUCCGUGCUGUUAACAUCAAGAUCAUCAUGUAUAAUAUAUAUAAGUAUAAUUAAUGUACCCUGGAUUAUCGUGACUGGAUUAAGUUCAGAAUCUAGUGUGUUUUGGAAUUUUCCAUGGCACUGUUGUCAAAGUAACAGUCUCCAACACUCCCCAGGCUAUUUGCAGUGAAUCUCAUUGUUGAGUGAUAAUUUACUUCGACAGGCAUUGAGAUUUUGAAAUUUGCUCAUCAAUAUGCAUAAAAUUGGUUAUUGGGUUGAAUACCAAUCCCCCAUUAAGGCAGUAUUCUAUCAUUUGAUCUGAUCUUAUAUAUGUUUGAUUAAUGGAAAGCAUGUGUAAUUUUCCAAUAAUUAACAAUCAUUGCCCUUGAAUUAUUCAGAACCACAAUCAAUUGGGAAAAAUAAAAUUUGAAUGAGGAUGUAUAGUACAUUCCUUUGUUUAACUUGGAUAUCUAUAAUGAUUUAAUAUGCAUGGGUUAAAUGGUCCCAUGAAUAUAAUAAAUUGUCAGCUAGUGUGUUUAUAAUGAGAAUAUCUGGUUUUGGAUAUAUGGUAGGUUAAUUUUAAUUUAAGUUGCUGUGCAGUAGAGAGGGGUUAUGUUGAAUAUUUAAAUCUACUAGCCUAAGGUAUAUUUUCUUCCAUAUUUCUCUAGAAAUGUGGUUGUGUUUAUAUGUCCACUAACAAAGCUGAAACAUAUAUCUGGUAACCAAAACGUACAGUCUUAAAAAAAAUCAUGAAGAAUGUCAUCAUAUAUUUCCUGAUAGCUUGCUUUUAGAGAUCUGAUUGGUUAAUAAGCAGGGUGGAAAAAAGGGGUGGAGGGUUAAAAAAAAAAUUACCUCACACCGCAAUGCCACGUACUGUAAACGUGGAAAUUUUGACGAUGUGUUAAUUUUGACUAUGUUGGCGAUUUUUAUUUUCUCGUCAAAAUUUCCACUCGCCAAACUUCACAUCAUAUAUAUAGCGUAUUAAUACCAGAAUUUUUAAUUGGCAUUAUCCCGCUAUGACUAGAUCAAAGUUAAUGAUUUAUUUAUGUAAAUGGCUAUAAAAACACGUAAACACGUAACAUUGAAAAAACCCAUUAUAUCUAAACAAGCAUGUUUUAAAUGCAAUUAUCACUCAAUCCUCACAACAUUCUCUAAUAACUUUGCGUGCGUAUUUAUCAUGCCGUGUUUGACCUACUUUAUUACCUCAGGCAAUAUCGUAUAGUGAAUAAAAACAAAAUACAAAGAACAAUUUUAUUCCAUCAAAUAUGUACAGACUUUUUUUUCAAUCAAAGUUAAAUUUUAUUAAUACCAACGCUUGUAAAAGAGUUCGCAAGAAAGAUAACUCUAGCCCUGGCAUUAUAAGAAAUCAAAGAUAGAUAACUCUUACUCUUAUUCAAAAAUUCGUCAAAAUUAAAACUCGCCAAUUGUCUCUUACUAAAAAAUCGUCAAAUUUUGAACUCGUCAAUAUAACCACGUUUACAGUAUAUAUACGUGUAAAACAAAUAUACUGACAAUUAACUUAGCUUAUAUGGUAGAGGAUAAGACUUUUAACUUGGGGUUGUGGGUCACAUUGGGUGCCAAAUGUAACAGAUGGUGAAAAGUCAAAUCUCAGCUGGAACUCAAAACCCAUAGCAUCUGGCAUACUGUGCCAGCAGUCUACCACUGAGCUACUGAGACCUGAUAUAUUGAAUGAAAGUAACACACCUGUAACACUGACACAAAUUUGUGGUUUUUUUUAAUCAUUGCGACCAUAUAUAUAGUCUCGGUGUAUGAUAAAAAGUCCAGGGUAAAUCCCAGUACACCUUUGAUUGGACCUGGGUAUAACUAAAAUAAUGUGCCCUCUGUAAAGAAGCAUUUUAUUGAUAUCAUGCAAUCAUAGCUCUAGUGGUAAUUAUUGGUAUUGUCAAAACCUGUUUAAACGGCAGUUAGAUCUCUAAAUACUGAUUGUUUAUCGUAAACAGUCACCUUUUUGAUGUACCGGUAUAUUGCCAUAAAAAAAAAAUCAUGUACUUAACUAUGCAGUGUAUGAAUUUCAGAAUAUUUGGGGUUACAUAUA